GGGAUUUUAGUUCAAUUGGCAAGAGCACUGCCCUGUCAAGGCAGAAGUUGCGGGUUCGAGCCCCGUCAGUCCCG
rnacentral:tRNA from 1 species